AUUGAACGCUGGCGGCAGGCCUAACACAUGCAAGUCGAACGAGUGGCGGACGGGUGAGUAAUGUCUGGGAAACUGCUUGAUGGAGGGGGAUAACUACUGGAAACGGUAGCUAAUACCGCAUACCAUCAGAUGUGCCCAGAUGGGAGUAGCUAGUUGGUGGGGUAACGGCUCACCAAGGCGACGAUCCCUAGCUGGUCUGAGAGGAUGACCAGCCACACUAGAACUGAUACACGGUCCGGAAUCCUAAGGGAGGCGGCAGUGGGGAAUAUUGCACAAUGGGCGCAAGCCUGAUGCAGCCAUGCCGCGUGUAUGAAGAAGGCCUUCAGGUUGAAAAGUACUUUAAGCGGGGAGGCGUUACCCGCAGAAGAAGCACCGGCUAACUCCGUGCCAGCAGCCGCGGUAAUAC
rnacentral:rRNA from 1 species